UACGUAGGUGGCAAGCGUUGUCCGGAUUUACUGGGCGUAAAGAGCGCGCAGGCGGCUGGUCAAGUCCGAUGUGAAAUCUCCCGGCUUAACUGGGAAACUGCAUCGGAAACUGAUCGGCUUGAAGGUGGGAGAGGGUAGUGGAAUUCCCGGUGUAGUGGUGAAAUGCGUAGAUAUCGGGAGGAACACCAGUGGCGAAGGCGGCUCACUGGUCCAUUACUGACGCUGAGACGCGAAAGCGUGGGGAGCAAACAGG
rnacentral:rRNA from 1 species